rnacentral:lncRNA from 1 species
CUUUGUAGAUGUAGAUAGCAUAGCUUUCUUUACGUUUGGGGCGUCUCUUCUUUUCACCACCAACUCCGGCUUUCUUCCCGGCUUUCUUUCCACCUUUGGACGCAACACCAACUGGUUUCACAGGCAUUUUCUUCGCAAAAUUUUCUUUCUUGACAGUAGAGGAAUUAUCUUCGCUGUAGAGAACAGAAUCAGAAUGCUGAAAUAUCGAAUCGACCCCCUUUUAUAAUGAACUCGUUGGGAUAAAUAAUUAAGUAGGAUCACAAAUACUGGCUUUUGAUUGGUUUAACUCGAGUCGGACGUCUGCGAAUAGCAGUAUGGUAUAACGCCCCCUCAAAUUAAGUGGGAUCACACUAUCAGAAUAAUUAGGGAUAUUAGAGAUAAUUAUGAAAUAAUUUAUGCACUAAUUUGGAAUAAUUAACCAAGGUCAAGGGUAUCGCAAUCCGAGCCCGAGAUACCAACCAGAUGCCGUCAUGCCGGUUGGCCCGGUUGUGUAAAAACAAAAAAAACCAGUUAAAUUCUGUUAAAACAUAGUUAAAAUUAACUGCAGAUCACUGGUUAACCUAGAAAAUAAACUGGUCUACAACAGGCCCCUGGCCAGUAGAACUCGUUGAUCAUAGACAUAGUCAUAGAAAACUUGCUUUGUCUGUAACUGGCUAGGCGGCUUUAGCUGUGCUAGUUCCUGCUUCCUA